rnacentral:rRNA from 1 species
UCGUGAAUCUUCCGCAAUGGGCGAAAGCCUGACGGAGCGACACCGCGUGCAGGAUGAAGGCCUUCGGGUUGUAAACUGCUGUCACGUUCUAGGAACCAGCUGGUAUAAAUAGUACCAGUUGCGACCAAGACGGAAGGAAGCACCGGCUAACUCUGUGCCAGCAGCCGCGGUAAGACAGAGGGUGCAAACGUUGUUCGGAAUCACUGGGCAUAAAGCGCACGUAGGCGGUCCACUAAGUCUCAUGUGAAAUCCCCCGGCUCAACCGGGGAAUUGCGCGAGAUACUGGUGGGCUAGAGAUCGGUAGGGGUGAGUGGAACUCCAGGUGGAGCGGUGAAAUGCGUAGAUAUCUGGAGGAACACCGGUGGCGAAAGCGGCUCACUGGACCGACACUGACGCUGAGGUGCGAAAGCUAGGGUAGCAAACGGGAUUAGAUACCCCCGUAGUCC